GAGCAACGCCGCGUGAGGGACGAAGGCCUCUGGGCUGUAAACCUCUUUUCUCAAGGAAGAAGACAUGACGGUACUUGAGGAAUAAGCCACGGCUAAUUCCGUGCCAGCAGCCGCGGUAAUACGGGAGUGGCAAGCGUUAUCCGGAAUUAUUGGGCGUAAAGCGUCCGCAGGCGGCCUUGAAAGUCUGUUGUUAAAGCGUGGAGCUCAACUCCAUUUAAGCAAUGGAAACUACAAGGCUAGAGUGUGGUAGGGGCAGAGGGAAUUCCCGGUGUAGCGGUGAAAUGCGUAGAUAUCGGGAAGAACACCAGUGGCGAAGGCGCUCUGCUGGGCCAUAACUGACGCUCAUGGACGAAAGCCAGGGGAGCGAAAGGGAUUAGAUACCCCUGUAGUCCUGGCCGUAAACGAUGAACACUAGGUGUCGGGAGAAUUAACCCUUCCGGUGUCGUAGCCAACGCGUUAAGUGUUCCGCCUGGGGAGUACGCACGCAAGUGUGAAACUCAAAGGAAUUGACGGGGGCCCGCACAAGCGGUGGAGUAUGUGGUUUAAUUCGAUGCAACGCGAAGAACCUUACCAGGGUUUGACAUCCUGCGAAUCCCUUGGAAACGAGGGAGUGCCUUCGGGAACGCAGUGACAGGUGGUGCAUGGCUGUCGUCAGCUCGUGUCGUGAGAUGUUGGGUUAAGUCCCGCAACGAGCGCAACCCACGUCUUUAGUUGCCAGCAUUCAGUUGGGCACUCUAGAGAGACCGCCGGUGAUAAACCGGAGGAAGGUGUGGAUGACGUCAAGUCAUCAUGCCCCUUACAUCCUGGGCUACACACGUACUACAAUGCUACGGACAAAGGGCAGCAAACUCGCGAGAGCUAGCAAAUCCCAUAAACCGUGGCUCAGUUCAGAUCGUAGGCUGCAACUCGCCUACGUGAAGGAGGAAUCGCUAGUAAUCGCAGGUCAGCAUACUGCGGUGAAUACGUUCCCGGGCCUUGUACACACCGCCCGUCACACCAUGGAAGUUGGCCAUGCCCGAAGUCGUUACUCCAACCCGCAAGGGAGGAGGACGCCGAAGGUGGGGCUGAUGACUGGGGUGAAGUCGUAACAAGGUAGCCGUACCGGAAGGUG
rnacentral:rRNA from 1 species